UACGGAGGGUGCGAGCGUUAAUCGGAAUUACUGGGCGUAAAGCGCACGCAGGCGGUUUGUUAAGCUAGAUGUGAAAGCCCCAGGCUCAACCUGGGAACUGCAUUUAGAACUGACUGACUAGAGUCUUGGAGAGGGGAGUGGAAUUCCAGGUGUAGCGGUGAAAUGCGUAGAGAUCUGGAGGAACAUCAGUGGCGAAGGCGACUCCCUGGCCAAAGACUGACGCUCAUGUGCGAAAGUGUGGGUAGCGAACAGG
rnacentral:rRNA from 1 species